rnacentral:rRNA from 1 species
UACGUAGGGGGCAAGCGUUUGUCCGGAUUUAUUGGGCGUAAAGAGCGUGUAGGCGGCCAUACAGGUCAGCUGUGAAAACUCGAGGCUCAACCUCGAGACGUCGGUUGAAACCGUAUGGCUAGAGUCCGGAAGAGGAGAGUGGAAUUCCCGGUGUAGCGGUGAAAUGCGCAGAUAUCGGGAAGAACACCCGUGGCGAAGGCGGCUCUCUGGGACGGUACUGACGCUGAGACGGCGAAAAGCGUUGGGGAGCGAACAGG